GAUGAACGCUGGCGGCGUGCCUAAUACAUGCAAGUCGAGCGAAUGGAUUAAGAGCUUGCUCUUAUGAAGUUAGCGGCGGACGGGUGAGUAACACGUGGGUAACCUGCCCAUAAGACUGGGAUAACUCCGGGAAACCGGGGCUAAUACCGGAUAACAUUUUGAACCGCAUGGUUCGAAAUUGAAAGGCGGCUUCGGCUGUCACUUAUGGAUGGACCCGCGUCGCAUUAGCUAGUUGGUGAGGUAACGGCUCACCAAGGCAACGAUGCGUAGCCGAUCUAGGAGGGUGAUCGGCCACACUGGGACUGGGACACGGCCCAGACUCCUACGGGAGGCAGCAGUAGGGAAUCUUCCGCAGUGGACGAAAGUCUGACGGAGCAACGCCGCGUGAGUGAUGAAGGCUUUCGGGUCGUAAAACUCUGUUGUUAGGGAAGAACAAGUGCUAGUUGAAUAAGCUGGCACCUUGACGGUACCUAACCAGAAAGCCACGGCUAACUACGUGCCAGCCGCCGCAGUAA
rnacentral:rRNA from 1 species